rnacentral:miRNA from 1 species
UCAAAAUGUAGAGGAAGACCCCA